rnacentral:lncRNA from 1 species
ACGGCCGCCUUCACCCUGGCCUUCCCGGGAUCCCACAACCCCGCCGCAGCAGUCUGCUCCCCGCUCACCUGUCAAUCCUCCUUCAGAGCUGACGGUCCGGGGUGGCCCCGAAUCCUGGCUGCGCGUCUCAGGGAGCCAGCGCGUCUCAGGGAGACUCGCUUAGCCCCGCCGCGCAGAGGUGCCCUUCUACUAUGGACUCCUCCCUCUGACCCCCACCUUGUGAUCCCAGAGAACAGGAGAGAGAAGACUUUGUCCUCACUUGGUCUUCCCAGCAUCUAGCCCUGACCAAGGAGAGGAAGGGCUCGGUGAACACUGAUUGGCUAAGGUUCUACCUUAGCAGGCUAUCCUACCAAGUAGCGAGGAUGCUUUUCUCCCCGCCUGAAGCGUCAAGUGCAAUUGUGAACACGCACCAAGUGCUCAGUAAGGGAUGUGAACCUGUUUUGUACAAAUUGGUGGCUUGUUUGGGUUCUUCAGAAUUGUGGCUUCUGAUUCACUGGAGGUGGCUGUGCCCCUACCCCGCAACCCCCUGAAGUGGCUGGCAUUGGUGCAAAUGAGGCUGUUGAACCUGAUCGUGUUCUCUCUGGCCUUGGACCUGAGUGCUGCAGAGAGAGAGAGAGAGGGAGACUCUGAUGGCUCUGAAGAUCAUGGCCCUUCCCAUAUGAGGUUCUAGGCAGUAUUCCUGAGCCGGUCUCUUGCUCACUCCCCAGCCCUUUUGAAUACCCCUUUUCGGUAUGAAUUUGAUGAUCUAAUUUGACUAUCUCUCAAAUGC